CGUUGGACACUUUCACGCUCUGCCCUGGCCGGAAGCCCCCUCACCAACUCCUGCAGGGUUCACUCAGUUUCCAGAACUUUAAUUAUUGGAAAAUUCUCCCUGGUCCAGCCCCCGAAUCUCCCGUGAACGUUGACAGCUGAGUUGCUGCUCCAUGCAUGCUUUGGCUGAGAGCAGAGGGAGCCCCUGUCCUCACUGAGCUGCUGCCGUGCGGAGGGGUGAAGGGUGGGGCCAUCCAUGGCCAGUCACUGAGGCAGAGGAGCCUCUGGAGAGGGCAGGUCCUGGGGAAGCUCCGGACUCCCAGAGGGGCCAGGUGGGGGCCCUGGUGACCAGGACAGACUGUGGUGUUUUUUAACGUAAAGGAGAUAUGCUGUGUGAGGGACCCCCUGUGUACUGCGUGCCGCCUGGUGGCAGGCUGGGCCAUGGUAGGUGCUCACGCCCCCGGCAUGUGCCCGUCAUGUGGCCGCCCUCCAUGGGAGGGGCUGCGAGGAUGACUUUUAAAAAUGCAGAGAAAGGCUCCAUUCUUCCCAGGACCUCAGCGGAACCCUGGCCCAGGGAGGCAGGAGACAGAGGCCAGGAGGGGUCCAGAGGUGUGGAAAUGUCCUGGGGACCUGAGCAGCAGCCACCGGGGAAGAGGCAGGGAGGGAGCUGAGGACCAGGCUUGUCCACAUUGGUUGUGAGAAUCCCUGAGCCCAGGGGGUUGAUUCCAGGAGGUGUCUGGAUUGGCUGGGCCAUGCCUGGGCUGACCUGUCCAGCCAGGGAGAGGGUGUGAGGGCAGAUCUGGGGGUGCCCAGGUGGAAGGAGGCAGGCAUGGGGGACACCCAAGGCCCCCUGGCAGCACCACGAGCUAAGCAGGACACCUGGAGGGGGGAACUGUGGGGACCUGGAGGCCUCCAACGACCUCUUCCUGCUUCCUGGACAGGAUUAUGGCUGUGCAGGGAUUUCAGAGAAGACUCCUGGGCUCCCUCAACGCCAACCCCACAGCCAUCCCCCAGCUGGGGCUGGCUGCCAACCAGACAGGAGCCCGGUGCCUGGAGGUGUCCAUCCCUGACGGGCUCUUCCUCAGCCUGGGGCUGGUGAGCUUGGUGGAGAACAUGCUGGUGGUGGCCACCAUCGCCAAGAACCGGAACCUGCACUCACCCACGUACUGCUUCAUCUGCUGCCUGGCCCUGUCGGACCUGCUGGUGAGCGGGGGCAAUGUGCUGGAGACGCUCGUCAUCCUCCUGCUGGAGGCCAGUGCACUGGUGGCCCGGGCUGCCGUGGUGCAGCAGCUGGACAAUGUCAUUGACGUGAUCACCUGCAGCUCCAUGGUGUCCAGCCUCUGCUUCCUGGGCGCCAUCGCCGUGGACCGCUACGUCUCCAUCUUCUACGCGCUGCGCUACCACAGCAUCGUGACACUGCCGCGGGCGCGGCAAGCCAUUGCGGCCAUCUGGGUGGCCAGCGUCCUCUUCAGCACUCUCUUCAUUGCCUACUACGACCACGCGGCUGUCCUGCUGUGCCUUGUGGUCUUCUUCCUGGCCAUGCUGGUGCUCAUGGCCGUGCUGUACGUCCACAUGCUGGCCCGGGCCUGCCAGCACGCCCAGGGCAUUGCCCGGCUCCACAAGAGGCAGCGCCCGCUCCACCAGGGCUUCGGCCUGAAAGGCGCUGUCACCCUCACCAUCCUGCUGGGCAUUUUCUUCCUCUGCUGGGGCCCCUUCUUCCUGCAUCUCACACUCAUUGUCCUCUGCCCCCAGCACCCCACGUGCAGCUGCAUCUUCAAGAACUUCAGCCUCUUUCUCACCCUCAUCAUCUGCAAUGCCAUCAUCGACCCCCUCAUCUACGCCUUCCGCAGGCAGGAGCUCCGCAGGACGCUCAAGGAGGUGCUGACGUGCUCCUGCUCUCAGGACCUGUGCCCUCGUCAGCUGGGAUGUGAAGUCUCUGGGUGGAAGAGUGUGCCAAUAGCUACUCCCAUGGCAGCCCCAGGGGAAGGGGCUUUGUGACCAGAAAGCUUCAUCCACAGCCCUGCAGCGGCUCCCGCAAAAAGAAUUCUGGGAAGUCAUCAGUGAUGAGCACGGCAUCGACCCCAGCGGCAACUACGUGGGCGACUCGGACUUGCAGCUGGAGCGGAUCAGUGUCUACUACAAUGAGGCCUCUUCUCACAAGUACGUGCCUCGGGCCAUUCUGGUUGACCUGGAACCUGGAACCAUGGACAGUGUCCGCUCAGGGGCCUUCGGACAUCUUUUCCGGCCUGACAAUUUCAUCUUUGGUCAGAGUGGGGCCGGCAACAACUGGGCCAAGGGUCACUACACGGAGGGUGCGGAGCUGGUGGAUUCCGUUCUGGACGUCGUGCGGAAGGAGUGUGAAAACUGCGACUGCCUGCAGGGCUUCCAGCUGACCCACUCCCUGGGGGGCGGCACGGGCUCCGGCAUGGGCACGCUGCUCAUCAGCAAGGUGCGUGAGGAGUAUCCCGACCGCAUCAUGAACACCUUCAGCGUCGUGCCCUCGCCCAAAGUGUCAGACACGGUGGUGGAGCCCUACAACGCCACGCUGUCCAUCCACCAGCUGGUGGAGAAUACGGAUGAGACCUACUGCAUCGACAACGAGGCUCUCUACGACAUCUGCUUCCGCACCCUCAAGCUGGCCACACCCACCUACGGGGACCUCAACCACCUGGUGUCGGCCACCAUGAGCGGGGUCACCACCUCCUUGCGCUUCCCGGGCCAGCUCAACGCUGACCUGCGCAAGCUGGCCGUCAACAUGGUGCCCUUCCCCCGUCUGCACUUCUUCAUGCCCGGCUUCGCCCCCCUCACAGCCCGGGGCAGCCAGCAGUACCGGGCCCUGACCGUGCCCGAGCUCACCCAGCAGAUGUUUGAUGCCAAGAACAUGAUGGCCGCCUGCGACCCACGCCACGGCCGCUACCUGACGGUGGCCACCGUGUUCCGGGGCCGCAUGUCCAUGAAGGAGGUGGACGAGCAGAUGCUGGCCAUCCAGAGCAAGAACAGCAGCUACUUCGUGGAGUGGAUCCCCAACAACGUGAAGGUGGCCGUGUGUGACAUCCCGCCCCGCGGCCUCAAGAUGUCCUCCACCUUCAUCGGCAACAGCACGGCCAUCCAGGAGCUGUUCAAGCGCAUCUCGGAGCAGUUCACGGCCAUGUUCCGGCGCAAGGCCUUCCUGCACUGGUACACGGGCGAGGGCAUGGACGAGAUGGAGUUCACUGAGGCCGAGAGCAACAUGAACGACCUGGUGUCCGAGUACCAGCAGUACCAGGACGCCACGGCCGAGGAGGAGGGCGAGAUGUACGAAGACGACGAGGAGGAGUCGGAGGCCCAGGGCCCCAAGUGAAGCUGCCUGCAGCUGGAGUGAGAGGCGGGUGGCGGCCGGGGCCAAGGCCAGCGGUGUCUGACCCCCAGAGCCAUGUUGCUGCCGACUCCGUACCCUGCUUUCCCCUCGCCCUAGGGCUCCCUUGCCGCCCUCCUGCGUAUUUAUGGCCUCGUCCUCCCCCCCUAGGCCACGUGUGAGCUGCUCCUGUCUCUGUCUUACUGCAGCUCCAGGCCUGACGUUUUACGGUUUUGUUUUUUACUGGCUUGUGUUUAUAUUUUCGGGGAUACUUAAUAAAUCUAUUGCUGUCAGAUACCCUU